GACGAACCGUGCGAACGUUGUUCGGAAUCACUGGGCUUAAAGGGUGCGUAGGCGGGCUCGUCAGUCGGGGGUGAAAUCCCACGGCCCAACCGUGGAAGUGCCUCCGAUACUGCGGACCUGGAGGGGGAUAGGGGCGCGCGGAACUUCCGGUGGAGCGGUGAAAUGCGUAGAUAUCGGAAGGAACACCGGUGGCGAAAGCGGCGCGCUGGAUCCCUACUGACGCUGAGGCACGAAAGCCAGGGGAGCAAACGGG
rnacentral:rRNA from 1 species